CAAUAGCGUAUAUUAAAGUUGUUGCGGUAAAAAAGCUCGUAGUUGGAUUUCUACCGAAGAUAGCCGGUCGGGUCUUCGACCUUGUAUCUGGUUUUGUCUUUGGUGUCCUCAUAGGGAACGUUUCUGCGCUUUAUUGCGUGGUGCGGUAUCUAUGACUUUUACUUUGAGGAAAUUAGAGUGCUCACGGCAGGCAAACGCCUUGAAUAUAUUAGCAUGGAAUAAUAACAUAGGAUCUUCGUCCUAUUUUGUUGGUUUCUAGGGCUAAGAUAAUGAUUAAUAGGGAUAAUUGGGGGCAUCUGUAUCAACGCGUCAGAGGUGGAAUUCUUGGAUUGCGUUGCGACAAACUACUGCGAAAGCAUUUGCCAAGGAUGUUUUCAUUGA
rnacentral:rRNA from 1 species